UCAGGAUGAACGCUAGCUACAGGCUUAACACAUGCAAGUCGAGGGGCAGCAUUUCAGUUUGCUUGCAAACUGGAGAUGGCGACCGGCGCACGGGUGAGUAACACGUAUCCAACCUGCCGAUAACUCGGGGAUAGCCUUUCGAAAGAAAGAUUAAUACCCGAUGGUAUAAUCAGACCGCAUGGUCUUGUUAUUAAAGAAUUUCGGUUAUCGAUGGGGAUGCGUUCCAUUAGGCAGUUGGUGAGGUAACGGCUCACCAAACCUUCGAUGGAUAGGGGUUCUGAGAGGAAGGUCCCCCACAUUGGAACUGAGACACGGUCCAAACUCCUACGGGAGGCAGCAGUGAGGAAUAUUGGUCAAUGGGCGCAGGCCUGAACCAGCCAAGUAGCGUGAAGGAUGACUGCCCUAUGGGUUGUAAACUUCUUUUAUAUGGGAAUAAAGUUUUCCACGUGUGGAAUUUUGUAUGUACCAUAUGAAUAAGGAUCGGCUAACUCCGUGCCAGCAGCCGCGGUAAUACGGAGGAUCCGAGCGUUAUCCGGAUUUAUUGGGUUUAAAGGGAGCGUAGGUGGACAGUUAAGUCAGUUGUGAAAGUUUGCGGCUCAACCGUAAAAUUGCAGUUGAUACUGGCUGUCUUGAGUACAGUAGAGGUGGGCAGAAUUCGUGGUGUAGCGGUGAAAUGCUUAGAUAUCACGAAGAACUCCGAUUGCGAAGGCAGCUCACUGGACUGCAACUGACACUGAUGCUCGAAAGUGUGGGUAUCAAACAGGAUUAGAUACCCUGGUAGUCCACACAGUAAACGAUGAAUACUCGCUGUUUGCGAUAUACAGUAAGCGGCCAAGCGAAAGCAUUAAGUAUUCCACCUGGGGAGUACGCCGGCAACGGUGAAACUCAAAGGAAUUGACGGGGGCCCGCACAAGCGGAGGAACAUGUGGUUUAAUUCGAUGAUACGCGAGGAACCUUACCCGGGCUUAAAUUGCAUUUGAAUAUAUUGGAAACAGUAUAGCCGUAAGGCAAAUGUGAAGGUGCUGCAUGGUUGUCGUCAGCUCGUGCCGUGAGGUGUCGGCUUAAGUGCCAUAACGAGCGCAACCCUUAUCUUUAGUUACUAACAGGUCAUGCUGAGGACUCUAGAGAGACUGCCGUCGUAAGAUGUGAGGAAGGUGGGGAUGACGUCAAAUCAGCACGGCCCUUACGUCCGGGGCUACACACGUGUUACAAUGGGGGGUACAGAAGGCAGCUACCUGGUGACAGGAUGCUAAUCCCAAAAGCCUCUCUCAGUUCGGAUCGAAGUCUGCAACCCGACUUCGUGAAGCUGGAUUCGCUAGUAAUCGCGCAUCAGCCAUGGCGCGGUGAAUACGUUCCCGGGCCUUGUACACACCGCCCGUCAAGCCAUGAAAGCCGGGGGUACCUGAAGUACGUAACCGCAAGGAGCGUCCUAGGGUAAAACUGGU
rnacentral:rRNA from 1 species